UACGGGGGGGGCAAGCGUUUGGUUCGGAAUUACUGGGCGUAAAGGGCUCGUAGGCGGCCAACUAAGUCAGACGUGAAAUCCCUCGGCUUAACCGGGGAACUGCGUCUGAUACUGGAUGGCUUGAGUUUGGGAGAGGGAUGCGGAAUUCCAGGUGUAGCGGUGAAAAUUGCGUAGAUAUCUGGAGGAACACCGGUGGCGAAGGCGGCUCUCUGGGACGGUACUGACGCUGAGACGCGAAACG
rnacentral:rRNA from 1 species